rnacentral:rRNA from 1 species
GACGUAGGGUGCAAGCGUUGUCCGGAUUUACUGGGCGUAAAGCGCGCGUAGGCGGUCUGUUAAGUGCACAAGUGAAAGCUCCGGGCUCAACUCGGAAAUUGCUUUGCAUACUGGCAGGCUGGAGGGACGCAGAGGUCUGUGGAAUUCCUGGUGUAACGGUGAAAUGUGUUGAUAUCAGGAGGAACACCCAUGGCGAAGGCAGCAGACUGGGCGUUUCCUGACGCUGAGGCGCGAAAGCGUGGGUAGCAAACAGGAUUAGAAACCCCAGUAGUCC